rnacentral:lncRNA from 1 species
UUAAUCAUGGCGUCGUGCUGCUGUUACUACGUUUACUAGUCGUCACUCGUCACCAACUGCAUUCUUCUUUGUAUUACCAUCAGUUUACAAUCAUGGGAAACUAUGGCGACGUCGCUGUCGUGCUCCUGUAGGUUGUUGUAUCGUUCAUGGCUGGGUUCAACCCAGUCGUUGAUCACUGGUGUACCGCUGUCUCCUCUGUGGCAGAUACCAAAGCACAACGCUUCCGUCUUACUACACGACAACAUACGCAACGACCAGUUACUACACCGAAGGCCUCUGAGUACUACAACACCAAGGCUCCAGUUUAUUACACCAAAACUUUGGCUGUCCCGACCUACUACAUCGAAGCCCCGAAGUAUUAUUCUUCCCCGAGCUACAAAACCAAAGCGUCAAGUACUACACCGAGGCUCGCAAGUACAACUCUGCUCCAGCUUAUUACACCACAUGAACGGUCGAAUACUACACAGAAGCCACCAGUUUGAAAUUAUGGUGUGUAGUUGUAUAAAUGGAGAGAAAAGGCGAAAGAAAUCAGUUGAGUGAGCAUCUCCGGCAUGGCAUUAGAUAUUGCAGUGCACUAUUUGUCACCAACUGCAAAAUGGCGUAUUACCAGUUGGCAACCAUGGUAAACUGUGGCGUCAUGCUGCUGUUGGGUGUUGUAUCGUUGAUGGCUGGAUCGACCACUGCUGUACCGAGUUCUUCUCGGUAUGGAAGUUACCAAAGCACAACGCUGCCGUCUAAUUGCACGACAACAUACGCAACGGCCAGUUACUACACCGAGGUCCCUGAGUACUACACCACCAAGGCUCCAGAGUAUUACACCACAUAUUAGAUUGCUCUGAUCUACUACACCAAAACGCCGGAGUACUAUACCGAGGCUCCCCAUUACUACACCAAACAGACACCAAAGUACUUCACAUCCAGAUAGCAUGGAGGAGAGUAAAGGCGAAAGAAAUCAGCAGUCGAGUGAUCAUCGGGUGGCCCCUGAUUACUGCACCACUAAGGCACCGAAGUACUACACAACCACGUAUGCUGCAGUAGCUUACUACACAGAGGCUCCCUAGUACUACACCACUAGAACUCGUGGUCUUAUAAUAGGAGAGGAAAGACUAUAUCUCCGACAUCUCAUUAUGGAAGUUACAGAGCACAACGCCGCCGUCUAAGUGCACGACAACAUACGCAAAGGCCAGUUACUACACCGAGCCCCAUAGAGUACUACAUCACCAAGGCACCACAAUAUUACACCACAUUUUAGGUUGCUCUGAUCUACUACACUAAAACGCCUGAGUACUGUACCGAGGCUCCCUAUUACUACAACAAGACACCAGAGUACUUCACAUCUAGAUACCAUGGUCGCAUAAAAGGAGAGUAAAGGCAUAAGAAAUCAGCAUUUGAGUGAUCAUCGAGUGGCCCCUGAUUACUACACCACUCAGGCACCGGAGUACUACACAACUACGUAUGCUGCUGCUAACCGAUGCGGUGUUGUAUCGUUGAUGGCGGUUGCCAAAGCACAACGCUAUCGUCUUACUACAAAACAACAUACGCAAUGGCCAGUUACUACACCGAGGCACCUGAGUACUACACCAUCAAGUCUCCAGAUAAUUACACCAAAACUUCGGCUGACCUGAGCUACUACACCGAAGCCCCAAAGUAUUAUUCACCCCCGAGCUAGAAUACCAAAGCAUUGAGUACUUCACCGAGACACCCGAGUACUUCACCACCAAGGAACCGGAGUGUUUUGUAACUACAUAUGCUGCGCCAGCUUCUUACAACGAAGCUCGCAAGUACAACUCUGCUCCAGCUACUACACCGAGGCUCCAGCUUAUUACACCACAUAAACGGUCGAAUACUACACAGAAGCUACCAAUUUGCAAUCAUGGCAAACUAUGGUGUCGUGCUGCUGUUGGGUGUUGUAUCGUUGAUGGCUGAAUCGAUCACUGUUGUCUGAUGUCUCCUGGGUAUGGCGGGUAUCAAACCGGAACGCUGUCGCCUAACUACACGACAACAUUCGCAACGACCAGUUACUACACCGAUGCCCGUGAGUACUACACCACCAAGGCUCCAGAUUAUUACACCAAAACUUCGGCUGUCCCGACCUACUCCACUGAAGCCCGAAGUAUUAUUCUUCCACGAGCUACACCACCAAGGCACCGGAGUAAUACUGCGUAUGCUGCUCCAACCUACUGCACCGAGGCUCCUGGCUCCCAAGUACUACACAACCAAUGCAUUGGAGUAUUAUCAACUACGUAUAAUGCGCCAGCUUACUACACCGAGGUUUCAGCUUAUUGUACUACAAAAACGGUCGAUUACUACAGAGAAGGGCGAAAAUACUACUCUGCCCCUUGCCACACAACCACAACUGAGGUGGCCAAGUAUUACGUAGCCCUAACUUUCUUCACAACCACUGCCUUCGUAUUACGUUGGACCGAAUACUACACUGAAGCUCCAGCUUACUACACCACAACCUACGCUACACUCAGCUACCACUCCGAAGCUCCAAAGUAUUACUCUGCCCCGAGUUACUACACCACUAAGGCAUCUGACUAUUAAACCACGACCUACUCUUCUCCAGAUUACUACAUGGAGGCCUCUAAAUGCUAGAGCCGAAAUUGUUUCAUACAUAUGUGUUACUUGUCACUGGAAAUUGUCGUUGAUCUUGAAUGAGAAAAUAAAUUUGAAUGCGGGUAA